CAGUCGCCGCGGUAAUACAGAGGGUGCAAGCGUUAAUCGGAAUUACUGGGCGUAAAGCGCGCGUAGGUGGUUUGUUAAGUUGGAUGUGAAAGCCCCGGGCUCAACCUGGGAACUGCAUCCAAAACUGGCAAGCUAGAGUACGGUAGAGGGUGGUGGAAUUUCCUGUGUAGCGGUGAAAUGCGUAGAUAUAGGAAGGAACACCAGUGGCGAAGGCGACCACCUGGACUGAUACUGACACUGAGGUGCGAAAGCGUGGGGAGCAAACAGGAUUAGAGACCCCCGUAGUCCCUGUCUCUUAUAC
rnacentral:rRNA from 1 species